rnacentral:rRNA from 1 species
UACAGAGGUCCCAAGCGUUGUUCGGAUUCACUGGGCGUAAAGGGUGCGUAGGUGGUGGGGUAAGUCCGAUGUGAAAGCUCCGAGCUCAACUCGGAAAUUGCAUUAGAAACUACCUUGCUCGAGGGUUGGAGGGGGGACUGGAAUUCCGCGUGUAGCAGUGAAAUGCGUAGAUAUGCGGAGGAACACCGAUGGCGAAGGCAAUCCCCUGGGCCUGCACUGACGCUCAUGCACGAAAGCGUGGGGAGCAAACAGG